rnacentral:rRNA from 1 species
CCUACGGGCGGUAGCAGUGAGGAAUAUUGGUCAAUGGCCGGAAGGCUGAACCAGCCAUGCCGCGUGAAGGUCAGUGCCCUAUGGGCGUUAAACUUCUUUUGUGCGGGAGCAAUAAUGGUCACGUGUGGCCAGACGAGAGUACCGUACGAAUAAGCAUCGGCUAACGCCGUGCCAGCAGCCGCGGUAAUACGGGGGAUGCAAGCGUUAUCCGGAUUUAUUGGGUUUAAAGGUGGCGUAGGCUGUGAGGUAAGUCAGCGGGGAAAUGCCCCCGCUCAACGGGGUGAAGUGCCAUUGAUACUGCCUUGCUGGAGUGCGGAUGCCGUGGGAGGAAUGUGUGGUGUAGCGGUGAAAUGCAUAGAUAUCACACAGAACACCGAUUGCGAAGGCAUCUCACGAAUCCGCGAUUGACGCUGAUGCACGAAAGCGUGGGUAUCAAACAGGAUUAGAUACCCUAGUAGUC